rnacentral:piRNA from 1 species
UAGUACAUGAGUUUCCUGAGAAGAUUGC